rnacentral:tRNA from 1 species
GGGGUCGUAGCUCAGUUGGGAGAGCGCCGCGUUCGCAAUGCGGAGGUCGAGGGUUCGAUCCCCUUCGACUCCACCA